rnacentral:rRNA from 1 species
CCCUUAGAUGUUCUGAACCGCACGCGUGUUACACUGAUGCAUUCAACGAGCUUUACCUUGGCCGAGAGGCCUGGGAAAUCUUUUUAGCAUGCAUCGUGAUAGGGAUUGAUUAUUGCAAUUAUUAAUCAUGAACGAGGAAUUCCUAGUAAACGCAUUUCAUCAAAAUGCAUUGAUUACGUCCCUACCCUUUGUACACACCGCCCGUCGCACCUACCGAUUGAGUGGUCCGGUGAAGUCUCGAGAUUGUGGCAAUCUCCUUUAUUGGAGUUUGACUGCGAGAACUUGCCUAAACCUUAUCACUUAGAGGAAGGUGAAGUCGUAACA